rnacentral:rRNA from 1 species
GGAUUAGAUACCCUGGUAGUCCACGCAGUAAACGAUGAGAACUAGACGUGGGAGAGGUUGACUCUCCGGUGUCGCAGCUAACGCAUUAAGUUCUCCGCCUGGGGAGUACGGCCGCAAGGUUGAAACUCAAAGGAAUUGACGGGGGCCCGCACAAGCGGUGGAGCAUGUGGUUUAAUUCGAUGCAACGCGAAGAACCUUACCUGCCCUUGACAUCCGGGGAAUUCUAUUGAGAGAUAGAAGUGCCUUCGGGAGCCCCGAGACAGGUGCUGCAUGGCUGUCGUCAGCUCGUGCCG